UUCGGUGGCCAUAUGGCCAAGAUAGGUCCUGAAACUUGACAUCCAUCCUAUUUUAGGCCUUCUAAACACAGUGGAAUCAUUAGUUUUUACAAAUUCAAACCCAAAAUGGUAAUUUGACUUCGGAUCCUAGGUUGAUAGUCUACGGCGUAUGUGGGGUCUACCCUAGGCUAAGCCACACAAUAUUUAGAACUU